rnacentral:ribozyme from 1 species
UAUUGGUGUGCGUGUUUCGUUUUUUGUUCUUUUUUUUUCUUUCUUUCUUUUUUUGUCCCCCAAGAGC